UUAAUUUUUAUUUUAUUUUAAAUGCCAGUAUUAAGAGAUUAACAAAGCUCUGUCACAGAGGUAAAGUAAGUGCUGCCCUGGGCUGAUGUUAUGCUCUGGACAGCAGUUACUUUGCUAGCUAGCCACUGUUCAUAACCUGAAUUUUAGCUUGCAGCUUGAAGUAAAAUAGACUGCUCGUAUCUCGAAAAACUCGUAAGUUGAGGUACCGAUGUACUGUUAACACUAGAUCAUUACAUGAACAAAAAUCAACAUACGCGAAAACAUGUGCUAGAACUCAAGACCAAUUAUAUUGAGUGGUAUAUUGGUGAGGCUGUCUUUAAAAUAAUAAUUACUUUGCAUGUGCUAAUAACAUUCUUUUACAUAAUCAGUUUUUUCUUAUUAAAAAUAUUUCUCCCAAUAAAUGCAUAUUAUUACAAUACUACUAUUACAUUAAUAUGUUUUUUCUAACAUUAUUUAUACUAAAGAAAAAAACUUGUGUAGUAUCAUCAUUGGCUGAAUGUCAUAACUGCAUAUAUAAAUACUAUCCUUUUGUUUCCAUGUGUACUUUCCUUAGUUCUCUCUCGAGUAUUUGUAUUGCCAUCCAGACUCUUUUUUCUUAUCUUUCUGCUAUUCUGUAAUUCUGUUUGAAAGUAGUUAUCUUUAUAUCUCAUAAUGCAAUCUCUCCAUUGCCCUCUACUGUAC
rnacentral:lncRNA from 1 species